GAUGAAGAACGUAGCGAAAUGCGAUACGUAAUGUGAAUUGCAGAAUUCAGUGAAUCAUCGAAUCUUUGAACGCAUAUUGCGCUCUCUGGUAUUCCGGAGAGCAUGCUUGUUUGAGUAUCAGUAAACACCUCAACUCCCUUUUCUUUUUUGAAAUUGGAGCUGGACUUGAGUGAUCCCAACGCUUUCUUCCAAGAAAGUGGCGGGUUGCUUGAAAUGCAGGUGCAGCUGAACUUUUCUCUGAGCUAUAAGCAUAUCUAUUUAGUCUGCCUAAAAAACAGAUUAUUACCUUUGCUGCAGCUUACAUAAAGGAGACUAGUUCUUGUGCUGACUGAUGCAGGAUUCACAGAGACAGCUUCGGCUGACUUUGUAAACUCGAUCUCAAAUCAAGUAAGACUACCCGCUGAACUUAAGCAUAUCAAUAAGCGGAGGA
rnacentral:misc_RNA from 1 species